rnacentral:rRNA from 1 species
GCAUGGAGGCACUCUGACCCAGCCAUGCCGCGUGAGUGAAGAAGGUUUUCGGAUUGUAAAGCUCUUUCGGGUGUGACGAUGAUGACGGUAGCACCUAAAGAAGCCCCGGCUAACUUCGUGCCAGCAGCCGCGGUAAUACGAAGGGGGCAAGCGUUGUUCGGAAUUACUGGGCGUAAAGGGAGUGUAGGCGGUUAUGUAAGAUAGUGGUGAAAUCCCAGAGCUUAACUUUGGAAUUGCCAUUAUGACUAUGUGGCUAGAAUUACAGAGAGGAUAGUGGAAUACCCAGUGUAGAGGUGAAAUUCGUAGAUAUUGGGUAGAACACCAGUGGCGAAGGCGACUAUCUGGCUGUAUAUUGACGCUGAGGCUCGAAAGCAUGGGGAUCAAACAGGAUUAGAUACCCCUGGUAGUCCAAGGGCGAAUUC